rnacentral:rRNA from 1 species
AGAGUUUGAUCCUGGCUCAGGAUGAACGCUAGCGGCAGGCUUAAUACAUGCAAGUCGAGGGGCAGCACGGGUAGCAAUACCUGGUGGCGACCGGCGCACGGGUGCGUAACGCGUAUGCAACCUACCUUUAACCGGAGGAUAGCCCCGAGAAAUCGGGAUUAAUACUCCAUAACAUUGCGAGAAGACAUCUUCUUGCAAUUAAAGCUCCGGCGGUUAUAGAUGGGCAUGCGUGACAUUAGCUAGUUGGUGAGGUGACGGCUCACCAAGGCUUCGAUGUCUAGGGGUUCUGAGAGGAUUAUCCCCCACACUGGUACUGAGACACGGACCAGACUCCUACGAGAGGCAGCAGUAAGGAAUAUUGGGCAAUGGACGCAAGUCUGACCCAGCCAUGCCGCGUGAAGGAUGACGGCCCUAUGGGUUGUAAACUUCUUUUGUACGGGAAAAAACCCCUGAUCGUGUAUCGGGGCUGAUGGUACCGUAAGAAUAAGCAUCGGCUAACUCCGUGCCAGCAGCCGCGGUAAUACGGAGGAUGCAAGCGUUAUCCGGAUUCAUUGGGUUUAAAGGGUGCGUAGGCGGGAUAAUAAGUCAGUGGUGAAAUCCUACAGCUUAACUGUAGAACUGCCAUUGAUACUGUUAACCUUGAGUACAUUUGAAGUGGGCGGAAUGUGUCAUGUAGCGGUGAAAUGCUUAGAUAUGACACAGAGCACCGAUUGCGAAGGCAGCUCACUAAACUGUAACUGACGCUGAGGCACGAAAGCGUGGGGAUCAAACAGGAUUAGAUACCCUGGUAGUCCACGCCGUAAACUAUGAUCACUCGAUGUGUGCGAU